rnacentral:rRNA from 1 species
AUUGAACGCUGGCGGCAUGCCUUACACAUGCAAGUCGAACGGUAACAGGUUAAGCUGACGAGUGGCGAACGGGUGAGUAAUAUAUCGGAACGUGCCCAGUCGUGGGGGAUAACUGCUCGAAAGAGCAGCUAAUACCGCAUACGACCUGAGGGUGAAAGCGGGGGAUCGCAAGACCUCGCGCGAUUGGAGCGGCCGAUAUCAGAUUAGGUAGUUGGUGGGGUAAAGGCCCACCAAGCCAACGAUCUGUAGCUGGUCUGAGAGGACGACCAGCCACACUGGGACUGAGACACGGCCCAGACUCCUACGGGAGGCAGCAGUGGGGAAUUUUGGACAAUGGGCGCAAGCCUGAUCCAGCCAUGCCGCGUGCGGGAAGAAGGCCUUCGGGUUGUAAACCGCUUUUGUCAGGGAAGAAAAGGUUCUGGUUAAUACCUGGGACUCAUGACGGUACCUGAAGAAUAAGCACCGGCUAACUACGUGC